rnacentral:rRNA from 1 species
GCAGUAGCCGCGGGAAUACGAAGGGUGCAAGCGUUACUCGGAAUUACUGGGCGUAAAGCGUGCGUAGGCGGUGGUUUAAGUCCGUUGUGAAAGCCCUGGGCUCAACCUGGGAAUUGCAGUGGAUACUGGGUCACUAGAGUGUGGUAGAGGAUAGUGGAAUUUCCGGUGUAGCAGUGAAAUGCGUAGAGAUCGGAAGGAACAUCUGUGGCGAAGGCGACUAUCUGGGCCAACACUGACACUGAGGCACGAAAGCGUGGGGAGCAAACAGGAUUAGAUACCCGCGUAGUCCCUGUCUCUUAUAC